rnacentral:tRNA from 1 species
GGGGGCGUAGUUCAAUUGGUAGAGCGCAUGCUUUGCAAGCAUGAAGCUAUCGGUUCAAGUCCGAUCGUCUCCA